AAAGGACUCCCUGGAGCCCGGUUUAGAGUGAUUGCAUCCUCUCGUCUGCCUGCCCGUCUGCAUCAGGAGUUCUCCAAAAAGCGGCACUGGAAGCAGCCUGAGGGCUUUGAAGCUGUGCUGCCUUACAGUGAAGACUUAAGUAGUAAUUAAAUUCUCGAAGAACCGCCAAGACUCCUUUGGCUGAAAUGGGGAUGUUCCGGGCCCUGGAUGCUGCGUCGCGGAGGAAAGGAUGUUUAAACACGACUCCGUCAAAGCAGCGAAGACUUCUGUAAGACAUGGAUAGAUGCAAACAUGUUGGGCGGCUACGACUCGCCCAGGACCACUCUAUCCUGAACCCCCAGAAGUGGCACUGCGUGGACUGCCAGACAACUGAAUCCAUCUGGGCUUGUCUGAAGUGCUCCCACGUAGCCUGUGGGAGGUACAUCGAGGAGCAUGCACUUAAACACUUUGAAGAAACCAGGCAUCCAUUGGCAAUGGAAGUUAAUGAUCUGUAUGUCUUUUGUUACCUUUGCGAAGAUUAUGUCUUGAAUGAUAACCCGGAGGGUGAUUUGAAAUUGCUGAGAAGUUCUCUGUCGGCAAUUAAAAGUCAAAAACAUGAUCCGUCAACGAGAAGUGGCAGGACAUUGCGAUCGAUGGCUUUGGGAGAGGACGUGUGCAGCCAUCAAAGGAGCCCUCAGGGACAAUCUCAGAUGCUUACAGCUCUCUGGCACAGGCGCCAGUCCUUGCUUGCGAAGGCGCUGCGGACCUGGUUUGAUAAGAGCUCUAGAGGCCAGCUAAAAUUAAAACAAAAGAAACAAAUGGAGGAGUUGGAGAAAAAGAAGGAGGCAGCUAGGCAGCGGCGGCAGGAGAUGAAGAGACAGCUCCUGGAGGAGCUGGCAAACACUCCUCCGAGGAAGAGUGCAAGGCUGUUGUCUCACGUGCACAGAGAGAACUUGAUUCCAAGGAAAUUCAGGGAGGUGGCAACUGCUUCCCCUACCUCAAGGCAGAUGCAGAGCAGCAGAUUCAAACAGUUUUAUUCCAUCCGGCGUAAACCUCUGAUGACUCCCGGGGUAACGGGUCUAAGGAACCUGGGAAACACAUGUUAUAUGAAUUCUAUUCUGCAAGUGCUAAGUCACCUCCAGAAAUUUAGAGAAUGUUUUUUGACACUUGAUCUCUGUGAAACAGAAGAACUCUUAGCCAAAACUGUGAAUGGGAAGUCUAGGAUGCCUGGCAAAUUGGCAAAUGGGUCUGCUGCUAAUGAGUCAGGGAAGACUGACAAAGUGGGAUCAUAUGGCACGCAGAGCUUGCCAGCUGGCUUAAAUGGUGGCUCCUCGAUAAGCAGGAGUUUAGAACUAAUACAACCCAAGGAACCGAGUUCAAAGCACAUCUCCCUCUGUCACGAAUUGCACACCCUCUUCAGAGUGAUGUGGUCUGGCAAGUGGGCGCUAGUGUCCCCCUUUGCCAUGCUGCACUCCGUGUGGAGUCUGAUCCCGGCGUUUCGAGGUUAUGAUCAGCAGGACGCUCAGGAAUUUCUCUGCGAACUGUUGGAUAAAGUACAGCAGGAGCUGGAGUCGGAAGGAACGAAGCACAGGAUCCUCAUCCCUUUCUCACAGAGGAAGCUCACCAAGCAGGUCCUGAAGGUGGUGAACACCAUUUUUCAUGGGCAGUUGCUUAGUCAGGUCACCUGCAUAACAUGCAAUUACAAAUCCAAUACCGUUGAGCCCUUUUGGGAUCUUUCCCUGGAAUUCCCCGAGCGCUAUCACUCUUUCGAGAAAGGGAUCGUCCCUGUUAACCAGACAGAGUGCAUGCUGACGGAAAUGUUGGCCAAAUUCACUGAGACCGAAGCUCUGGAAGGGAGGAUAUAUGCGUGCGACCAAUGCAACAGCAAACGGCGAAAGUCUUCUCCUAAACCUCUUGUUCUGAGUGAAGCUAAAAAGCAGUUAAUGAUCUACAGACUACCUCAGGUCCUCCGACUGCACCUUAAACGAUUCAGGUGGUCUGAACGUAAUCACCGUGAGAAGAUUGGGGUCCAUGUCCUCUUUGACCAGGUAUUAAACAUGGAACCUUACUGCUGCAGGGACUCUCUCUCCUCUCUUGACAAAGAGACCUUUGUCUAUGACCUCUCCGCUGUGGUGAUGCAUCACGGGAAAGGGUUUGGCUCAGGACACUACACAGCAUAUUGCUACAACACAGAGGGAGGUGCGUGUGCCUUAUUACGGGGGAAACAAAUUCAAGAAACUCAUGUUUUAUUCCAUAGAUGUAGUGCGUUGUAAAGCUUUAUGAUCAGAGUUGUUUGAAAUCAAGUCUCCUGACAUUUGGUAGUUUGUUUCCCAGAAUGUAUUGCUAGUAGCAUGUUACUUUUUUUUCUUUUCUUUUUUUUUUUCUUUUUUUUUCUUUUUUUUUAUAAAGCCACAGAUUGCUGCUCUUUGCUUUGUGGCCCGUUGGGAUGCCUUUUAUUGCUUGCUGGUAACAGCAUGAAUGCUUCAUUUUCUCAUGCGAUGUAACUCCGUGGAGCUGCUCCAGCUGGGUGUCUUUUCUCAGUAUCCUUGGGAUGAUGAGAUAAACAGAAAGUGUUUUGAAACUGGACAGGAACUAUUCAUGAAUAACAUCCGCGGGGUUUUUGUGAUUUUCCAGCAGUCUCUUUCUGCAGCUGAAUUAGUACUGACUCUGCCUUCUGACUUGUGGAAAAAGAGGUUUUUGGGUCCACUGCAAUGACUCCAAACU